CCCUGGUGGAUUGUCGCUUGUCGAUUGGUGGAAGUGAUUACGUAACAGCUGCGGUGAGUGAUAUCUCCCGCUUGCGCAUUGCCACGCGUUCACCUGGGGUGAUAGCACAUCCGUGACGUCAGAGCCCUUCCCCGUAACUUAGCCAGCAUGGAGCGGUCAACAAAUAUAUAAGCUUUUCUGUAAUAUCGAUGGCGCAGUUUGCUCUCUGCAUGUGCGUGGUGUCCAUGCCAACGGGUACGAUGAUCACUCUGGGUGUCGGCAGGGCUCGCUGCCACGCGGUCGCAGCCAUUACAGGGUUCCUGGUGCUAGCCGCAGUGGCGGGAGUGCAAGCUCGCUGCCCUCCCAGGCGGUCGGGUCUCUUGAGUACCUGCGACUACACCGUAUGUUCCCCCGCGGAGUGCGCCGCGCAGGGUCUGGAGUGCUGCCCGAAAGCGUGCGGUGGAAGCUGGUGCGUCAAAGGUAUACGUCCACCACCCGAAUUCACCGAGAUCUGUCCACCAGUGUUUAAUUUUGCCCAGGACUGCCUUGAGCCGAGGAAUAACACGACUUGUGAACAACUGAACUGCUUCAAGGUGGGAUCCGUCUGCUGCCGCAAUGGCUGCAAGGAAAACUACUGCUACCUCGUGCCCGGGACUUUCAAGUGAAGCCCUUGGUCACCGCUAGCCAGGCCAAGCUUCUUCUCGACACUUUAUCAGAAUAAACAUCCGUUUGACAUGCUCAUCUA